GACGAACGCUGGCGGCGUGCUUAACACAUGCAAGUCGAACGGAAAGGCCCUGCUUUUGUGGGGUGCUCGAGUGGCGAACGGGUGAGUAACACGUGAGUAACCUGCCCUUGACUUUGGGAUAACUUCAGGAAACUGGGGCUAAUACCGGAUAGGAGCUCCCGCUGCAUGGUGGGGGUUGGAAAGUUUCGGCGGUUGGGGAUGGACUCGCGGCUUAUCAGCUUGUUGGCGGGGUAGUGGCUUACCAAGGCUUUGACGGGUAGCCGGCCUGAGAGGGUGACCGGCCACAUUGGGACUGAGAUACGGCCCAGACUCCUACGGGAGGCAGCAGUGGGGAAUAUUGCACAAUGGGCGGAAGCCUGAUGCAGCAACGCCGCGUGCGGGAUGACGGCCUUCGGGUUGUAAACCGCUUUCGCCUGUGACGAAGCGUGAGUGACGGUAAUGGGUAAAGAAGCACCGGCUAACUACGUG
rnacentral:rRNA from 1 species